UUAAUAUUUUUAUAUCAAUAUCAUGUAAAAUGCCCCACCAUGGACGGUGGGGCAAGGCGUUACGCACCACGGACGGUGCGUAAAAGCCGGUUUCGUCAUUCUGUGAAACUCUAUAUGCAUAAUUCAUACAACAUCUUAACUGCAAAGC
rnacentral:ncRNA from 1 species